rnacentral:lncRNA from 1 species
AUGCGAAAAAAGGGGGCUGCUCCAGGUUGGGGGGUGCAAGAGGGGGAUCGCGCUAGCGAGGCCGAAGGGAGGGGGCAAUCUGAGAGGGAAUUGAAGGUGAAUGCUUCUCAAAGGGGUGGGGAUAGCUACAGAAACCGCAGCAUGGGCGGGGGAGGGGAGAGCAGAGGCCUCGGAGGUUUGGACGGGGAGGGGGAGGGGAAAGAAGUGCUGGGUGCGGCUCUUUCUCAGAGAGCUCCCCAAGGCGCCAUCUUGGAUCCGUUCAGUCGCAACAAACGGAUUAGCACGGUAGCGAAGCGCGACCGAGGCCGGACCUCAGACGCGCUCCACUUACCGAUAUGCUGGCAACCGCAACCUCAGGGUCCUGAGGACUGCCAGCAGGCUCAGGGCCAGGGUCAACCCGUUUUGCGUCUCCCCCCUCCACCUCGGCGGCUUUCUGGUGAUCUCGGCUCCUCGAAGGCCCCCCCACCGGAAACGAACCAACCACGACCAAUCAGCGUUCGAUUACUGACGUCAAUGGGCCUCGGUCUGGUCAAGGUGGUUGCCUUGGCAACCUUAAAGGGAAAACUACCGCCCCUCCCCCUCGCCCCUCUCUUUCGAACCUCAACUCCCCCGCCCACUCCCAGGACCCUUCUUUUCUGCACUCCUUUAUCCGAUUCUGUAGCCCUCCCUCAUUCCUUCCCUCUCUUUCCUCCCUUCCCUUCUUUUUCUGUUCUUUCUCGAUCCCCGACUCACUCACCUGCUUGUCCACAAUUUUUCGUCUUUUGGCUCUCCUUUCUUCCUUUCUCUGCCUCUCUCUUUCUCUGUAUCUAUACCUCUCUUUCUCUCGGUCUCUCUUUUCCUUUUUGUCUCGGUUUAGACGCUCCUGUGUGUCUAGACCGUCUCAGUCUAAACUGUCUGCCUUGGGUCUCCUUUUUUCUCCCUGUCUCUCUCUUUUUCUUUCCGUCCGUCUCUGUCCCCUCGAGCUCCUCCUCUUCUCGUCGGUCAGGCGCCUCCUGUCGCUUCUGCUGCACCCGCUUCCUUCUCUUCCUCUCCUCUCCACUCCUCCGCCUCUUUUGA